AGUGAACGCUGGCGGUAGGCCUAACACAUGCAAGUCGAACGGCAGCACAGUAAGAGCUUGCUCUUACGGGUGGCGAGUGGCGGACGGGUGAGGAAUACAUCGGAAUCUACUUUUUCGUGGGGGAUAACGUAGGGAAACUUACGCUAAUACCGCAUACGACCUACGGGUGAAAGCAGGGGAUCUUCGGACCUUGCGCGAUUGUAUGAGCCGAUGUCGGAUUAGCUAGUUGGCGGGGUAAAGGCCCACCAAGGCGACGAUCCGUAGCUGGUCUGAGAGGAUGAUCAGCCACACUGGAACUGAGACACGGUCCAGACUCCUACGGGAGGCAGCAGUGGGGAAUAUUGGACAAAGGGCGCAAGCCUGAUCCAGCCAUACCGCGUGGGUGAAGAAGGCCUUCGGGUUGUAAAGCCCUUUUGUUGGGAAAGAAAAGCAGCAGGUUAAUACCCCGCUGUCCUGACGGUACCCAAAGAAGAAGCACCGGCUAACUUCGUG
rnacentral:rRNA from 1 species